CGUGAUGCUGAUAAGCGGAUGUGCAUUCUUAUCGCAGACGUCAUGAUGAUAUCACACUCUCGCAUUAGGCAGUCUUUUAUUUAUCAAAGUGCUCAACAAAGUGAGACAGCUGAAAGCAUAAAAAAUGCAUUAAUGUGAAAUUUAAAUGUUAAGUGUGAGGGUAGUUUCCAUUAUAAAAAAAUGGAAGAACUAACAAAGCUUUCGCAUAAUGAAAAUUAACAGUGGAUUUUUACGUGUUGCUGAUUGCUUUGUCUUAAUGCAGUUCUACUGAUGUCUAAAGAGAAGGAAAUUUUACUACAAGUGACCUUGCAGCUACAUUAACAACUUCACCUACGACUGAUGUCUACAGCAUCAACGAAACCGAUUACCAGUACAUCCUCAUUGGAGUAUACACCUUCUUCGUGUCACUUUUCUUCAUAGGUGUUACUUUCCUUUUCCUCAAGAGAAUGAAAGACGCUUGUUGUUCGAAUUCUCAUCCUGACAUCGAUGAAUAUGAUGCCUUAAGAAGCGAUGAUCUUGUUCAUGAUUGUCAGAAUGGCAAUUGCUGUGUUCACAGCAUACAAUAUGAAAGCGAUCUUGAUCGUCCCACAACAAACAUUCACUACACUGACGAAUCCGAAUUCGAUAAUGUUUCUUUGGAUCCACGUGAAACGGGCGGGACGGUUGCGACACAGGAAGAACACCCUCCACAGUACGAAGGUCCACCCUCAUAUAUAAGCGAUGCGUUCUCAUGAUUGAAUAAUUUUCCAUGUAAUUAUGGAAAAAAAUGGAAGAACACACUAGGCUUGACAAUUUCGAAAGAUCUGAAGCAAACAUAGUAAGUCUUCUACAAACGGAACAUCGAAACCUUUCAACUGCCGAAGAAUUUCAAAAGCUGAGAUAAUGCUUACUAACGAAGAUGAUUUAAAAUGUCUGUUGUAUCCUGGCGAAAAAUACUUAUUUAAUACAUUAGGAACAGUCAAAAAUCGUUGAAAUUGAUAUUGAAUAAUUUGUUGUGUAUUCUUGAGUGACCUAUAAAAGUUUAAAUUCAGGUAAUGCAUAUGUGCACAUAGAUAGGAUCGAAAAUUUGACUUGGCAUCUUCGAAUUUCCAAAUGAGAAAUAUGAAAAGCAUUUGCCCUUUAAGUCUUUGCUCAAUUGAUAUUUGAGAAAUAUGAAAAGCAUUUGCCCCCUAAGUCUUUGCUCAAUUGAGAUUUGAGAAUAUUGUUUGCAAACGUUCCUUUUCAGAAACAUUUCUGGCGAAUUCAAGCUAUUUUAAAAGUGUUGACUCUCCUUAUUUUACUUAUCUGUUACUAACUAUAAAUAGUAUUUGUCUGACUGCAUGAUGCUACAGUAAUUAAUAUUGUGAAAGAAGACUUUUUUCAAGCAAUUAUUACUUACUCAUAUUUCCAUAUUCACGACUUUUGCAAGCAUUUCUUGGACAAAUAAUGCGAAUCAACAUAGAUUUUAAAGUGCAUAUAAGAAACAUAAAUCAUAUAUAAAGAUGUGAAAGCUAACUCCUGGAAGGACCUUAGUAAUACAACCACAUGUGUCAUGCGGAAAUCUCUUUCCCGCCAAAAUGCCGUCAGACCUUGAUUCGAGUUUUAAGACUGAUCUGGAUUUUGGUGCCAAUGAACUGCAUAAAACAAUAGACUCUAAAAUUUAAAAGCCCUUAAAUCCUCUCAUGUACUUGCUGGCAAGCGAAAGAGGGUAUUUAAAUUUCUCGAUAAUAAAUGUCUCGUAUGUAUUUAUUACGAUCGUGUAAAAGUAAUAAAUGUCUUGUAGACUUUACUACGAUCUUGUAAAGAUAAUAACUGUCUUGUAAACGUAAUAAAUGUCUUGUAUUAUGAUAAA
rnacentral:misc_RNA from 1 species